UGGGGAAUAUUGGACAAUGGGCGCAAGCCUGAUCCAGCCAUGCCGCGUGAGUGAUGAAGGCCUUAGGGUUGUAAAGCUCUUUCGCCGAGGACGAUAAUGACGGUACUCGGAUAAGAAGCCCCGGCUAACUUCGUGCCAGCAGCCGCGGUAAUACGAAGGGGGCUAGCGUUGUUCGGAAUUACUGGGCGUAAAGCGUAUGCAGGCGGAUCUUUAAGUCAGGGGUGAAAUCCCGAGGCUCAACCUCGGAACUGCCUUUGAUACUGGAGAUCUUGAGUCCGGGAGAGGUUAGUGGAACUGCGAGUGUAGAGGUGAAAUUCGUAGAUAUUCGCAAGAACACCAGUGGCGAAGGCGGCUAACUGGCCCGGUACUGACGCUGAGAUACGAAAGCGUGGGGAGCAAACAGG
rnacentral:rRNA from 1 species